rnacentral:rRNA from 1 species
AUACAGAGGGUGCGAGCGUUAAUCGGAAUUACUGGGCGUAAAGCGCGCGUAGGCGGCUUAUUAAGUCAGAUGUGAAAUCCCCGGGCUCAACCUGGGAACUGCAUCUGAUACUGGUAAGCUAGAGUUUUGGAGAGGGAAGUAGAAUUUCAGGUGUAGCGGUGAAAUGCAUAGAGAUCUGAAGGAAUACCAGUGGCGAAGGCGACUUCCUGGCCAAAAACUGACGCUGAGGUGCGAAAGCGUGGGUAGCAAACAGGAUUAGAUACCCUAGUAGUCC